rnacentral:rRNA from 1 species
UACGGAGGGGGCGAGCGUUAUUCGGAAUCAUUGGGCGUAAAGGGCGCGUAGGCGGCCCCGUAAGUCUGGGGUGAAAGCCCUCGGCUCAACCGAGGAAUUGCCUUGGAUACUGCGGGGCUCGAGGCUGGAAGAGGGCAGUGGAAUUCCCGGUGUAGCGGUGAAAUGCGUAGAUAUCAAGAGGAACACCAGUGGCGAAGGCGAGUCCCUGGACGAUACCUGACACUGAGGCACGAAAGCCAAGGGAGCAAACAGG